CCUACGGGAGGCUGCAGUGGGGGAUAUUGGACAAUGGGGGAAACCCUGAUCCAGCGAUGCAGCGUGAGGGAUGAAGGCCUUAGGGUUGUUAACCUCUGUGGAGGAGGACGUUAAGGGAGGCACGCCUGUAGGAAGGUACGGCUAACUACGAGAAAGAAGCCGCGGUAAUACGUAGGUGGCGGGCGUUGUCCGGAGUUACUGGGUGUAAAGGGAGUGUAGGCGGGAAAUCAAGUCAGUAGUGAAAACUAUGGGCUUAACCCAUAGACUGCUGUUGAAACUGUUUUUCUUGAGUGAAGUAGAGGCAGGCGGAAUUCCUAGUGUAGCGGUGAAAUGCGUAGAUAUUAGGAGGAACACCAGUUGCGAAGGCAGCUUGCUGGGCUUCUACUGACGCUGAGGCUCGAAAGCGUGGGGAGCAAACAGGAUUAGAUACCCGUGUAGUC
rnacentral:rRNA from 1 species